GACGAACGCUGGCGGCGUGCUUAACACAUGCAAGUCGAGCGAACAGACGAGGCGCUUGCUCCUUUGUCGUUAGCGGCGGACGGGUGAGUAACACGUGGAUCCCCCCCCUAUAUGUCUGGGAUAACUUCGGGAAUCCGGCGCUAAUCCCGUAUAAUAUCUUGCACCGCAUGGUUCAAUAGUGAAAUACGGCUUUGCUGUCACUUCUCGAUGCAUCCGCGCCGCUUUAGCUAGUUGGUACGGUAACGGCUUAUCAAGGCGACGAUGCGUAGCCGAACUGAGAGAGUGGUCGGCCACACUGGAACUGAGACAGGGUCAAGACGCCUACGAGAAGCAGCAGUAGGGAAUCUGCCGCAAUGGGCGGAAGCAUGGCAGAGCAAGGCGGAGUGAGUGAUGAAGAUCUUCGGAUCGGGAAACUCGGUUUUUGGGGGAAAACAAAUGUGUAAGGAGCUAUGCACGUCUUGAAGGUAACUGAUCAGAAAGCCACGGCUAACUACGUG
rnacentral:rRNA from 1 species